GGGCGAGUGGCGGAACUGGUACACGCGCACGGCUUAGGACCGUGUCCCGAAAGGGAUGAGAGUUCGAGUCUCUCCUCGCCCA
rnacentral:tRNA from 1 species